UGGGGAAUUUUGCACAAUGGGGGAAACCCUGAUGCAGCGACGCCGCGUGAUUUAGAAGGCCUUCGGGUUGUAAAAAUCUUUUCUAUGGGAAGAAAAUGACAGUACCAUAGGAAUAAGGACCGGCUAAUUACGUGCCAGCAGCCGCGGUAAUACGUAAGGUCCGAGCGUUGUCCGGAAUCAUUGGGCGUAAAGGGUACGUAGGCGGGUAAGCAAGUUAGAAGUGAAAUCCUGUAGCUCAACUACAGUAAGCUUUUAAAACUGCUCAUCUUGAGAUAUGGAAGGGAAAGUGGAAUUCCUAGUGUAGCGGUGAAAUGCGCAGAUAUUAGGAGGAACACCGGUGGCGAAGGCGACUUUCUGGACGACAACUGACGCUUAGGCGCGAAAGCGUGGGGAGCAAACAGG
rnacentral:rRNA from 1 species